AGUGUUUGAUCAUGGCUCAGGACGAACGCUGGCGGCGUGCCUAAUACAUGCAAGUAGAACGCUGAAGGGAGGAGCUUGCUCUUCUUGGAUGAGUUGCGAACGGGUGAGUAACGCGUAGGUAACCUGCCUUGUAGCGGGGGAUAACUAUUGGAAACGAUAGCUAAUACCGCAUAACAAUGGAUGACACAUGUCAUUUAUUUGAAAGGGGCAAUUGUUCCACUACAAGAUGGACCUGCGUUGUAUUAGCUAGUAGGUGAGGUAAUGGCUCACCUAGGCGACGAUACAUAGCCGACCUGAGAGGGUGAUCGGCCACACUGGGACUGAGACACGGCCCAGACUCCUACGGGAGGCAGCAGUAGGGAAUCUUCGGCAAUGGGGGCAACCCUGACCGAGCAACGCCGCGUGAGUGAAGAAGGUUUUCGGAUCGUAAAGCUCUGUUGUAAGUCAAGAACGGGUGUGAGAGUGGAAAGUUCACACUGUGACGGUAGCUUACCAGAAAGGGACGGCUAACUACGUGCCAGCAGCCGCGGUAAUACGUAGGUCCCGAGCGUUGUCCGGAUUUAUUGGGCGUAAAGCGAGCGCAGGCGGUUUGAUAAGUCUGAAGUUAAAGGCUGUGGCUCAACCAUAGUUCGCUUUGGAAACUGUCAAACUUGAGUGCAGAAGGGGAGAGUGGAAUUCCAUGUGUAGCGGUGAAAUGCGUAGAUAUAUGGAGGAACACCGGUGGCGAAAGCGGCUCUCUGGUCUGUAACUGACGCUGAGGCUCGAAAGCGUGGGGAGCGAACAGGAUUAGAUACCCUGGUAGUCCACGCCGUAAACGAUGAGUGCUAGGUGUUGGAUCCUUUCCGGGAUUCAGUGCCGCAGCUAACGCAUUAAGCACUCCGCCUGGGGAGUACGACCGCAAGGUUGAAACUCAAAGGAAUUGACGGGGGCCCGCACAAGCGGUGGAGCAUGUGGUUUAAUUCGAAGCAACGCGAAGAACCUUACCAGGUCUUGACAUCCCGAUGCUAUUUCUAGAGAUAGAAAGUUACUUCGGUACAUCGGUGACAGGUGGUGCAUGGUUGUCGUCAGCUCGUGUCGUGAGAUGUUGGGUUAAGUCCCGCAACGAGCGCAACCCCUAUUGUUAGUUGCCAUCAUUCAGUUGGGCACUCUAGCGAGACUGCCGGUAAUAAACCGGAGGAAGGUGGGGAUGACGUCAAAUCAUCAUGCCCCUUAUGACCUGGGCUACACACGUGCUACAAUGGUUGGUACAACGAGUUGCGAGUCGGUGACGGCGAGCUAAUCUCUUAAAGCCAAUCUCAGUUCGGAUUGUAGGCUGCAACUCGCCUACAUGAAGUCGGAAUCGCUAGUAAUCGCGGAUCAGCACGCCGCGGUGAAUACGUUCCCGGGCCUUGUACACACCGCCCGUCACACCACGAGAGUUUGUAACACCCGAAGUCGGUGAGGUAACCUUUUGGAGCCAGCCGCCUAAGGUGGGACAGAUGAUUGGGGUGAAGUCGUAACAAGGUA
rnacentral:rRNA from 1 species